AUUGGUGAUUUUAGCGAAGUGGAUACACCUGUUCCCAUCUCGAACACAGAAGUUAAGCAUUUCAGCUCCGACGAUAGUGAUUUGCGAAAAUAGGACAUUGCCAAUA
rnacentral:rRNA from 1 species